ACUGCGAGGCAGGCAGUGAUGCUGCGGCCGCUUCGCACUGUGGCUCCUGCCGACCGCCAGGCGCUGUUACAGUGGAUGCGAACUAACCAUGCAGCAGCAGCCGGAACCCACAGUUCACCUUGGUGCAUUCCUUUAUGAUGAAGACUUAUUGAUUCAUUAUAUGAGAAAGGAAAAAUGAGCAGAAACUACUGUAUGAUGUGCAGCUCACACCAGACAGCAACUUUAGGGUUAUCUUUCCAGUUCAGCAGUGCAACUCUAUGGAGUAGAAUUGAAAGGAGACUUUUCGCCAAUUGCAGGAAAUGGUCAUAAAAAAAUACCUGCUCACUGACAGAAUAAAGCACAUGUGCCUCACUCUUCAUGGUAAAUGUUUUACUGAAGAAUAACAUACAGAAAAGUGGACAAGUCUUAACUGCACAGCUCAAUGAAUUUCCAUGAAGUAAAUAUACCCAUAUGAUAAUCCAGCUCAAGAAACAGAAAAUCACUACCACCCCAGAAGACUGCCUUAUACUACCAUCUUUUAAGAGUGAAUCACACAUGGGGUACUCCUUGUAUCUGGCCUCUUUCUUUUUUUCUUUCUUUUUAAUUAUUAUUUUUGUUUGAGAUGGAGUCUCAUUCUGUCACCCAGGCUAGAGUGCAGUGUCAUGAUCUCGGCUCACUGUAACCUCUGCCUCCCGGGUUCAAGCAAUUCUCCUGCCUCAGCCUCCUGAGUAGCUGGGACUACAGGCACCCGCCACCACGCCCAGCUGAUUUUUGUAUUUUUGGUAGAGACAGGGUUUCGCCAUGUUGGCCAGGCUGGUCUCGAACUUCUGUCCUCAGGUGAUCCACCCACCUCGGCCUCCCAAAGUGCUGGGAUUACAGGCGUGAGCCACUGCACCCGGCCUGUUUCCAGCCUUUGUUCAACAUUAUGUUUGUGAAGUUAAUCUGUGUUGUUUUAUGUAAUUAUAGUUCACUCAUUCUUUCAUGGGCUUAAAUCUUUUUACAAUAAAAUUUUAAGAGAAUAAAAUUGUAAAAAAAAAAAGCUCAUGACAUGCAAUAAACUGUAUAAUUUGAUGCGUUUUGACAUGUAUACACCCAUAUCAGUACCACAGUCAAGAUCAUGAAUACAUCUAUUUCCUCAAAAUAGUCCAUGAAUUUUUUUUUUUGAGACAGAAUCUCGCUCUGUCGCCCAGGCUGUAGUGCAGCGCGCGAUCUCGGUUCACUGCAACCUCAGUCUCCCGGGUUCAAGCAAUUCUCCUGCCUCAGCCUCCCGAGUAGCUGGGACUACAGACGCGUGCAACC
rnacentral:lncRNA from 1 species